rnacentral:tRNA from 1 species
UCCGCCAUGGUGUAAUGGCAGCACACCGGUUUUUGGUACCGUGAGUCCAGGUUCGAGUCCUGGUGGCGGAG